ACUCUGUGAUGCGGGGGCCUGAGCCCUCCUCCCUGACCUGCAAGAGAACUCUCAGGGUUCAGUUGCCCGAGGGCGACAGUACACUUCAGAUGUUGGAGAAUCCUCUAUCUCUUCUGAAGAGCAUUAGAGCCUCAUGGCUAUGUUUCAUUCCCACCAUUUGGGCGAUGGAUAUGAUCCUCGCCGUUGCUGGUGGAGUGGCUAUUUACCUCCUCUUAUGUCCCUUCCUUCCGAAGGAUGAUCUCUGGGUACCACCACCACCACCACCACCACCACCACCACUAGGGAGAAAAAAAAUUCUCAGAAAGUACCACGUGGUGAAGAAGUGUUGGAAGUUCAGAAAGAAGAGCUGCACUCGGAAAGCUCGUAGGGACUGCAGGGAAGAAGGCAAGGGGACUGAUGACCUGGCUUCAUCUCUCCAAAGCCACCUAGGGAAUGACCUUCAUGGUGGCAGACUUCAUCAGCCCUUAAGAGAAGAUGCCCCUGAUGAGAAGUUCCAGUCGAGCACGUUCCAUCUGUGGCCUCUACCUUGUCACCAGGUCUGAAGACUUUUCCAGUUUCUCUCGGGUCACAGCCAGCCCUGAGUGCCUACCACCCCCCAGAGCCUCCGAUUCCUCCAAGAUGCCUUUCACCCCAGCCGCUUUUGCUUUCCCCCCCUCCAUCCUAUUCUCCUAGUCCCAUGGCCUCCCGGCCACCUCUGCCAGACCCCAGCCUGGCUCUUCCUCAGCGGGAUUCAUCACCACUCCCAUUGGGGGCCAUCCCACAGAACCUGUGUCCACCCAACAACUGCUGGUUGUCUUCCCCUGAGCCAGAAACUUCAAUUCUUGGUGACACAGGCUGUCCCAUCUCUGCCCUCUCCCAGUGUCAGGAGCCUCCCGGAGCCUUGUGCCACUCCAACUUAUCAAACAGUGAAUGCCAGGGAGGCCACCUCACCCCCCAAUCACCAGAGGCCUCAGUCCUGCCGGAGACUGCAUACACACAGGUACAAGUUGGGAGUUCCUAUUUCCUCAAUCCUGAUGUCCAGAAAGUGCUGGAUACACUCAUCAAGAAGAAAGUGGAACAGAUUUGUAAGAACACUGAAGAGGAAGGGCAAAACGUUCCCCUGUAUUCCCUGGGGAAUAUGUUAAGCUCACUGGGCAAUAAGAACACCGAAGAGGAAGGGCAAAACAUUCCCCUGUAUUCCCUGGGGA
rnacentral:lncRNA from 1 species